GAUGAACGCUGGCGGCGUGCUUAAUACAUGCAAGUCGAGCGAACAGACGAUUCGCUUGCCUCUCUUGUGUUAGGGGCGGAUGGGAGAGUAAUGCGUGGAUAUCCUCUCUAUAAGACUGGCAUAACUCUGGGAAUCCGGAGCUAAUAUCGGACAAUAUUUUGAACCGCAUGGUUCAAAAGUGAAAGACGGUCUUGCUGUCACCUAUCGAUGGAUCUGCGCUGCAUUAGCUAGUUGGUAAGGUAACGGCCUACCAAGCCAACGAUGCAUAGCCGACCUGAGAGAGUGGUCGGCCACCCGGGAGCGGAGCCACGGACCAGGGUCCUGCGAGAGGCAGCAGAAGGGAAUCUUCCGCAGUGGUCGGGAACCUUGCGGAGCAGCGGCACGUGAGUUGUGAAGGUGUCGGGUUCGUGAAGCUGGGUUAUUAGGGAAGAACCUCUGUGUGAGUAGCUGUGGAGUGAUUGACGGUACCUGAUCAAGAAGCACCGGCUAACUACGUG
rnacentral:rRNA from 1 species